GUUCCGGUAGCUCAGGGGUAGUAGCGACAGAUUGCAAUCGAGCAAGUAUCUGUAGGUCGCGAGUUCAAAUCUCGCCCGGAACU